AAUCACCAACUGAUGCAUUUAAUACUUGGAGAAAAAGAAAACAAACAGUUACAAGCCAUCGAUCAUCGUCUGUCCUUACAAUUGUCUUUCAACAAUUGGCCGACCAAACGAAUCCUCGAGGAUCAUAGAAACAAUAAAGAAAACAAAAGAAAACUAUCAACAAAGCUAAAGAAAAGGGAAAAAAAAAAACCUAAAACAAGGAAACAAAAGGACCCUAAGCCUGAAAGCGUACUUUCAUCUUCAAGAAACUACCAUAACCCUUCCUUGCAUCAGUGAACCAUAAAGGCACCCAAACCAUCCUAGAUUUCCAAAUAUAGUCACUUUGUUCCCCAGCCUCCCCAUAUGCCAUAGAGUUCAUCGAACUAUCAGUCGCCUUUUACAUCCGGACUCAAUCGCCACAAACCUACUUUCCUUUUACAGGCCCCCUCCUCUCACGAUCAACGAGCCUUUCCACCUCCAUCGAGGCUUCCUCCAUCCAAUAAACAAGGUAAUCAUAUUUUUAGCUUUCUAUCACCAACCCAUGCGUCGUUUCAUUUGCCAUUCGAGGUACGAAUCUGAACUGUAUACUUCUAAAUUUGGCACUCUUCCCUUAAUAUCUUUUAUCAAAUUGCUUAUGUUCGAUCUGUCUUCUUUUGCAAAUUUUAGUUUUUUUUACCACCGUUAAAGCGUUUUCUUCUACGCAAACAUCUCUAAACCCCAGUUCCUCUGUGAAGAUGACUACCUGUAAACAUGCUCGCGCCUCUGCCAUAAUCGGAUUCAGAACAUUCUCCCAUGGUCGAGAAAACCACUCAUAUUUCCUACAGGACUUGCUUCGUGAAGACAUAAUCCCAUAAUAGGCUGGACAAAGAGUAUUCACUGCAAGCCUCCGUGACUUCAAUGCACACAACGUAGGCACAAAUUCAUUAGCUAUUUUCCAUAGAUUAAUACGAAUUUUGCUGGGAAUAUCAAUACUCCACAAUCUUGUAUAAAAAUUAAUUAGGUUCACAAAUUGCAAUGUAUUAUUACCUCCCAGAAAAUUAUCCCCCUCUGUAAUGAUCCACUUGUACCCAGUCUUCGUUGUAUACUCUCAUGUAUUAUCAUCCCUCCAGAUCACUUCAUUUGUGUGGACACUAUUAACUAGUGGAAUUAAUAAUAUCCUCUCCAACUGCUCGUCACCAAAUAAAUCUCGGAUAACAUCACGCUUCUAAGUAACCGCUUUCAUAUCGAUUAGAUAUGAAACAGUAGUAUAUCUAAUAUAAAUGUUUUGAAGUUGCACUCUACCAUCUCCAGGACUAGGUAACCAUGUAUUAUUCCAAAUGUUCACAACUAAACCAUCCCCAACCUUCUAGCCUAUACCAUUCUCUAGCAGCCUUCGGGCCCUCAAAAUACUCCGCCAAGUAUACGAAGGGUAAGAGCCCAAACAUGCACUUAUGAAAUCCCCUCGUGGAUAAAACUUUGCUUUCAUUACUCGUGCAAACAAACUAUUGGGCUUUGUAACCAAUUUCUAUCCUUGUUUCACUAAUAGGACCAUAUUAAACUUUGAAAGCUCUUUAAACCCCAAUCCCCCUUGCGCUUUGAGAAUGCACAUAGCACUCAAAUUGCACCGAUGUAUACCUUUAUUGAUUUUCGUAUUGCGCCACCAAAACUUGCACAUCAUAGUUUCCAAUUCAUGACACAAUGUAAUAGGAAACAUAAAUCUAACGAGCUAAUAGUUAGGGGUGUCGGAGACUGCAUUCCCAGGACUCCAUUCCUGUAAAUCGAACUUGUAAAUAUUUUAAUAAAAAUAUUUACUAAGUUAGUUGAGUAGUUAAUUAGAUUUUGGUUAAGUGAAUUUGGAUGAUUUAUAAGUUGUUAAGGUGUAGGGAUCAAAUUGUAUAAGUAUUAGAAGUUGAAUUAUAGAUUAAAAAUUAAUUAAAGGGACUAAAGAAGCAAUUAUACCUUUGUUCCAUUAAGUGGACAACAUUAAUGAUGAUUACAUAUAUAUAUGUUAACUUAUUAUAUAUUAUAUGUUAUAUUAUAUAAUAAGAAAUAUAUAUGUAUAUAUAUGUUAUAAUAUUAAUAAAAUAAAGUACAAUAAAACAAAACAAAAGAAAAAAGAGAACAUGCAAAUUAAAAAGAAAAUAAAGAAAGAGAGAAAAGCAAAGGAGAAAGAUGCAUGGCUAUAGGGACUUUAGGGUUCAUAUUCAAAAUUAGUUAGUCAAUUUAGUCCCUUUUUGUAAUUUUUAUAUUUUUGGAAUCUCGAUAUUUAGUACUACCCGACUCAUGUUGCAAUUUUAGCAUUGAUUAAGAUUUUAAAUGUUGUUAAUGUUGAAUAGUUUUAGUAUUAGGGAUUAAAUUGAUAGAUUUUAAGCUAGAAAUGGAAAUGGAUUAAAUUGUAGAACAAAUUGUAAAUUUUGAGUAAUAGGGACUAAAUUGUGAAAAAUUCAAAUUUUAGGGUUUAAUUGAAAAUAAGGAGCUAAAUUUAGCUUAAAGCAAAAUUAGUAUAAAAAUAUAGGAUUAAAUAUAAAGAAUAAAAAUUAGU